rnacentral:rRNA from 1 species
UACGUAGGGGGCAAGCGUUGUCCGGAUUUACUGGGCGUAAAGAGCGUGUAGGCGGCCAAACAGGUCCGUUGUGAAAACUGGAGGCUCAACCUCCAGACGUCGACGGAAACCGUAUGGCUAGAGUCCGGAAGAGGAGAGUGGAACUCCUGGUGUAGCGGUGAAAUGCGCAGAUAUCAGGAAGAACACCUAUGGCGAAGGCAGCUCUCUGGGACGGUACUGACGCUGAGACGCGAAAGCGUGGGGAGCGAACAGG